GUGAGAACUGGAAAGAGGAGAUUGGGGUGAAACGAGAGUCGUUCAAAUAUUCUUGCGCCUCUUUAUUCCGAUAGAGAGGACAUAAGAUGCUAGCAAUCGAGUGGCGGUGUUGUAAUUUACGAUCGAACAAAGCAAUGCUGGCCAACUAAGACGACCGGGUCAAUUGACGAAGCUAUGUUUGAAGUAUAGAUCGGCGGUGGUUAGAUCAGUGAUGCUAGAUCCCAAAUCCAUGGCGGUAAACCUGCUCUUGUUUCUUCCAGUGGGACGGUUAACUAAAUAGGAUAGGCCAUACAGUCGUCGUGUUUGAGAGCGCUGACCGAAUCAGAGGAUUGAUGAUGUAUGAGGUUCCUAAUUUAAAGCCAGACAAAAUCGACGUGGUUCAAAGACGACUUGACAUGAUGGCUGAGGUUGAAAAAGUCCGAGUUGAAUAAAAAAUAAACUUGCAAAUGAAAGGGAUGCUAGACAAGAGUUGGAGCAAAGAGUGCAAUAGAUGUAAAAAGAAAUGAAAGAAAAUGAAGAAAAGAGGCAAAAAGAAUUUGAAGAGUUUAUGAAAAAAUUUCAGCCUCCCGUUAGUCAUUACAGUAGUUUUUAAUGAUUCUGGAUCUUUAUAUUUAACAACGGUGGAUUUGUGAUUGAAACGGGCUCGGAUUUUUUGUUAUUUAUUUCGAAUCUUUAUGUUUAACAAUUGAUGAUUUUGUAAUUUAAACAUGCUCUGAAUU
rnacentral:lncRNA from 1 species